rnacentral:rRNA from 1 species
CAGUAGCCGCGGGAAUACGUAGGUCCCGAGCGUUGUCCGGAUUUAUUGGGCGUAAAGCGAGCGCAGGCGGUUAGAUAAGUCUGAAGUUAAAGGCUAUGGCUUAACCAUAGUACGCUUUGGAAACUGUUUAACUUGAGUGCAAGAGGGGAGAGUGGAAUUCCAUGUGUAGCGGUGAAAUGCGUAGAUAUAUGGAGGAACACCGGUGGCGAAAGCGGCUCUCUGGCUUGUAACUGGCGCUGAGGCUCGAAAGCGUGGGGAGCAAACAGGAUUAGAUACCCCCGUAGUCCCUGUCUCUUAUACA